AGUCCGGUUCUUAUGAUUGCGGUUCAUUUUUUCGCGCCCUGCUACCGAUUCAUGGAGAUGGGGACGGAGAUGGAGAGACUGAUGCAAAUGGGGGAGACGGUGCCCCGUCCUCCUCCUUUUCGAUCCCUCCAUGCCUCUGCCAUCGCCUGCUCGAGUUCCUCAUCCUCCACGCCUCACUGUGAAGUUUGUUACCAACUACUCUGAAGAAGAGAUAUUACAAAGACUGUGACAUGCAUUCUUUUGCAAGUCUUGGAGAGCAGAUCAAGGCAGCUAUAUGAUUGCAAAUCUCAUUGCAUGAUGGCAUCAUAAUUUGCUGUAGCUUCCCUCUACAAGACGAGCAACAAGAUUUUGGUAAUUGUUACUGGGAUCAUCAGAAGUUUCAAGCAUACUAUCUUAGUUCUGUAUACAACUGGUAUACUAUUCUCAUGGAACCUGCAAGAAGUAUCCUUGUUUUACUUUUACUAUAUUUUGUGGCUGUUUAUAUAAAAGGCAUCUGUUUUAGCGAACUUACAGAUUACAUGUCUAUUUUAGCUAUACACCAUUUCUGACACUCGACUGGCAUAAUCAUGUGAUGGCAGGAGCUUAAACUAUACCACAAUGAGACUACUAAACUUCAUCCUUGUAAACAGGUGUGCAACUGGAUAUUGAGGAUGUGGAGGAAGCUAAUGAGGACCCACCAUCCAUUUGUAUCAGUAUGCACUGAGGUCUUCUCCAGCACCACAACUGCUGCAGGUGAUCCAUGCCCAUCACUGGUUGCUUGUGCUUUGAUGUACGCCAUCUUCUGGUUGACCACAUUAGAAUUCGCGCAUAACCCUAUAAACGACUUGCAUUGAUUUGGUGAAAUGGCACGCUUUGAGAGGAACUUCCAAUUGGAAGUACGUUGA